rnacentral:rRNA from 1 species
AUACGUAGGGGGCGAGCGUUGUCCGGAAUUACUGGGCGUAAAGGGCGCGUUAGGCGGCCUGUCAAGUCUUGUGUGAAAACCCUAUUUUCAAGAUAGGAGGUGCACAGGAAACUGGUGGGCUUGAGUGCAGGAGAGGGAAGUGGAAUUCCAAGUGUAGCGGUGAAAUGCGUAGAGAUUUGGAGGAACACCAGUGGCGAAGGCGACUUUCUGGACUGUAACUGACGCUGAGGCGCGAGAGCGUGGGGAGC